rnacentral:rRNA from 1 species
GAUGAACGCUGGCGGCGUGCCUAAUACAUGCAAGUCGAACGAACAGACGAUGAUCUUGCUCCUCUGACGUUAGCGGCGGACGGGUGAGUAACACGUGUAUAACCUACCUAUAAGACUGGGAACAUUUCGGGAAACCGGAGCAAAUCCCGUAUGAUAUAUUGAACCGCAGGGUUCAUUAGUAAAAUACGGUUUUGCGGUCUCUAAUAGAGGCUUCCCCGCCUCAUUGGCGGGUUGUUAAGUAAACGGCUUACCAAGGCAACGAGGCGUGGCCGAACUGCGAGGGUGGUAGGCCACACGGGAACGGAACCACGGUCAAGACUCCUGCGGGAGGGAGCAGUAGGGAAUCUUCGGCAAUGGGCGGAAGCAUGACGGAGCAGCGCCGCGCGAGUGACGAAAGUCUUGCGAUCGUAAAACUCUGUUAUUAGGGAAGAACAACUGUGGAAGUAACUAUGCACGUAUUGACGGUACCUGAUCAGAAAGCCACGGCUAACUACGUG